CGUAUAGUGUGUUAAAGAUGAGUUCGCGGGUGAUUCUACGCAAGGAGAAGGCCCAGCUUUUUAGAGAAAUUCGGGACAGGAAGGACACACUUGUUGGACGAUUCCAGUCCUGCAGUGGCCAGGCCAGGUGGCAGACCGGCUGGGAUGCCGUGCUGGAUCUGGCCAAGCAAGUAGGCCUAGUGAAGGGCAGCAUGGACGCCCGUGGCUUCCGCCACGGGCUCUAUGCCAACCAGUUGCGGUCCGAAGGGAGUUGGUGGCGGACACGAACCCUCGGCACACCUCCGGCACAGUCAGUCUCCCGCAGCGAUCAAGUGACAGUGAAUCCAGUGACAUCGCGAAGAUGCUGGUCAAGCUAGUGCUGCUGGUGUCGGCGGUCCUGCUGACGCUGCAGUCGGCGACUGCCUUUAUCCCCUGCAGAGGCGACGCCGACUGCGGUUCCGGAGGCCGCUGCGACACGACGCAGAAGUGCUGCACCACCGAGGGCUGCCUGACGCCGUGCAGUUGGGGCAAGUGGUGCUUCACGGAAUUGCCCAGACCCUGCGCGGCGCCUCCCCCAACACCUCCGCCCUGCUACUGUCCCACCACGAAAGCCUGCAAUCACGAGCCUUGGGGGUGAUGGACGGAAGAUGGAGGGCGGUUACAAGACGAUGGCCGAUGACCGAUGCGUAUGCUCGGUGUCGCGACGCGUAGUUGUCCGUGGAGGUACAUUGUAAAGUAUGCCUCUUACGACUGGUCGAAGCUGAGUUGUUCAGGUUGAGCUCGAUAUGCAUGAUAAAGGAUGUAGAGCGACGUGCAACUUUCGAGGAACGACAAUCUUUUCUAUGAGUUUUGAUUAUUGGAUUGUCCUAAUUGUGUGGAUGAGUGCAUGACUUGCAAUACAACACCGCAAAGAAAAAG